CCAGACUCCUACGGGAGGCAGCAGUAGGGAAUCUUCGGCAAUGGACGAAAGUCUGACCGAGCAACGCCGCGUGAGUGAAGAAGGUUUUCGGAUCGUAAGACUCUGUUGGUAGAGAAGAACGUUGGUGAGAGUGGAAAGCUCAUCAAGUGACGGUAACUACCCAGAAAGGGACGGCUAACUACGUGCCAGCAGCCGCGGUAAUACGUAGGUCCCGAGCGUUGUCCGGAUUUAUUGGGCGUAAAGCGAGCGCAGGUGGUUUAUUAAGUCUGGUGUAAAAGGCAGUGGCUCAACCAUUGUAUGCAUUGGAAACUGGUAGACUUGAGUGCAGGAGAGGAGAGUGGAAUUCCAUGUGUAGCGGUGAAGUGCGUAGAUAUAUGGAGGAACACCGGUGGCGAAAGCGGCUCUCUGGCCUGUAACUGACACUGAGGCUCGAAAGCGUGGGGAGCAAACAGGAUUAGAUACCCUGGUGGUCCACGCCGUAACGAUGAGUGCUAGAUGUAGGGAGCUAUAAGUUCUCUGUAUCGCAGCUAACGCAAUAAGCACUCCGCCUGGGGAGUACGACCGCAAGGUUGAAACUCAAAGGAAUUGACGGGGGCCCGCACAAG
rnacentral:rRNA from 1 species